rnacentral:rRNA from 1 species
GACGAACCGUGCGAACGUUGUUCGGAAUCACUGGGCUUAAAGGGCGCGUAGGCGGCUGAUCAAGUCCGGGGUGAAAUCCUGCAGCUUAACUGUAGAAGUGCCUUGGAUACUGGUCGGCUCGAGGGAGGUAGGGGUCUGUGGAACUGCUGGUGGAGCGGUGAAAUGCGUUGAUAUCAGGAGGAACACCGGUGGCGAAGGCGGGUCUCUGGGCCGAUACUGACGCUGAGGAGCGAAAGCGUGGGGAGCGAACAGG